AAUGCUUUUUACAUUUUAAAAUGGUUGGAAAAAGGUAAGAUGAAUAAUAAUAGUUUGUGGCACAUGAAACUUGCAUGAAAUUCAGAUUUCAGUGUCCGUUUAAGUUCCAGUUUACUGGCACAGAGCCAUGCUCAUUCGUCUGCGUAUUGUCUGAGGCUGCUUUCAAGCUGUAACAGCCAAGUUGAGUAGUUGCAACAGAGACCAUCUGGCCCACAGAACCUAAAAUAUUUACUAUCUGGCUCUUUAAGAUAAAGUUUGCUGGCCACUGGUUUAGGGGGAUAGGGAUAGAGACAGGGAGACCGGUGAGGAGACUGUUGCAAGGGCUGGUGUGGCUUGGACCAGGGCAGCAAGUGGACAAAUGCUGGAUGUGUUUCAAAGGAAGAGCUGAUUGGUUGUCUGUAAAUAUGAGGAGUUGGGGAUGAAGCCAGUGUUUUUGCGCUGAGCGACUGGAAGGAUGAAAUUCCCGUUCACUGAUCUCAGACCCGGGGAGCAGCAGGUUGGGGAGAUGGUUGAGGAGGGAGCUCUUGGAUAUGUUAACUUUAAUAUGCCAAGUGAAGGUGUCAAGUAGGCAGUCACAGUUUAGACCCUUUAGCGUUUUCAGCAUAUUGAAGGUUCUUGAAGCUCUGGGCUAGAUGAAAUCCUGUAGGAAGAGUGGAUGGAGAGAGAAGUUCAAACAUGGAGCACAGGAUACCCAGUGAUAAGAGGAGGGAGGAGAAGAAAGGGCAGAAGAUGAGAAGGAACACCAGGGAAGGAAGCCGGGAGAGCAGGGUGUCUGGGAGGAGUAGAAAGGGCACAAG